rnacentral:misc_RNA from 1 species
GAGAAGAACGCAGCGAAAUGCGAUAAGUAAUGUGAAUUGCAGAAUUCAGUGAAUCAUCGAAUCUUUGAACGCACAUUGCGCCCGCCAGUAUUCUGGCGGGCAUGCCUGUUCGAGCGACAUUUCAACCAUCAAGCCCCAGGCUUGUGUUGGGGACCUGCGGCUGCCGCAGGCCCUGAAAACCAGUGGCGGGCUCGCUGUCACACCGGGCGUAGUAGAUUUUAUCUCGCUCAGGGCGUGCUGCGGGUUCCGGCCGUUAAAAAGCCUUUUUUACCCAAGGUUGACCUCGGAUCAGGUAGGAAGACCCGCUGAACUUAAGCAUAUCAAUAAGCGGAGGA